rnacentral:rRNA from 1 species
GAUCUAUAGCUGGUCUGAGAGGACGAUCAGCCACACUGGAACUGAGACACGGUCCAGACUCCUACGGGAGGCAGCAGUAGGGAAUCUUGGUCAAUGGGCGAAAGCCUGAACCAGCGAUGCCGCGUGUGUGAAGAAGGCCCUAGGGUUGUAAAGCACUUUCAGCAGUGAAGAAAUGCCGGGAGCCAAUACCUCACCGGUUUUGACGUUAACUGCAGAAGAAGCACCGGCUAACUCCGUGCCAGCAGCCGCGGUAAUACGGAGGGUGCGAACGUUAAUCGGAAUUACUGGGCGUAAAGCGCGCGUAGGCGGUUUGAUAAGUGGGAUGUGAAAGCCCCGGGCUCAACCUGGGAACUGCAUUCCAAACUGUCAGGCUAGAGUAUGGUAGAGGAGGUAGAAUUUCCUGUGUAGCGGUGAAAUGCGUAGAUAUAGGAAGGAAUACCGGUGGCGAAGGCGGCCUCCUGGACCAAUACUGACGCUGAGGUGCGAAAGCGUGGGUAGCAAACAGGAUUAGAUACCCUGGUAGUCCACGCCGUAAACGAUGAGAACUAGCCGUUGGGCCCCUUGAGGGUUUAGUGGCGCAGCUAACGCGAUAAGUUCUCCGCCUGGGGAGUACGGCCGCAAGGUUAAAACUCAAAUGAAUUGACGGGGGCCCGCACAAGCGGUGGAGCAUGUUGUUUAAUUCGAUGCAACGCGAAGAACCUUACCACCCCUUGACAUACUCGGAACUCGGCAGAGAUGCCUUGGUGCCUUCGGGAACCGAGAUACAGGUGCUGCAUGGCUGUCGUCAGCUCGUGUCGUGAGAUGUUGGGUUAAGUCCCGUAACGAGCGCAACCCUUGUCCUUACUUGCCAGCGGGUAAUGCCGGGAACUUUAAGGAGACUGCCGGUGACAAACCGGAGGAAGGUGGGGACGACGUCAAGUCAUCAUGGCCCUUACGGGGUGGGCUACAAACGUGCUACAAUGGGGAGUACAAAGGGCAGCAAGCCAGCGAUGGUGAGCGAAUCCCAAAAAGCUUCUCGUAGUCCGGAUAGGAGUCUGCAACUCGACUCCUUGAAGUCGGAAUCGCUAGUAAUCGCGAAUCAGAAUGUCGCGGUGAAUACGUUCCCGGGCCUUGUACACACCGCCCGUCACGUCAUGGAAGUGAAUUGCACCAGAAGUAGCUAGUCUAACCCUCGGGAAGACGGUUACCACGGUGUGAUUCAUGACU